rnacentral:misc_RNA from 1 species
UGUAGAAAAGAAGGAGGCACUUGAGAACUUGGACCUCAUUUUACUGUGUCUUGAUGAAAUUAUUGACGGAGGCAUUAUUCUCGAGACGGAUGCAAAUGUCAUUGCAGGGAAGGUCGCAAGUCACAGUAUUGACAGUGGUGCUCCUUUGUCUGAGCAGACAAUAAGUCAAGCAUUGGCCACAGCUCGCGAACAUCUAGCAAGAUCUCUUCUCAAGUAAUAUGUUUUCCUGAUAAAAGUGAG